rnacentral:rRNA from 1 species
AGGACGAACGCUGGCGGCGUGCCUAAUGCAUGCAAGUCGAGCGCACGCUCUUUCGGGGGUGUGAGCGGCAGACGGGUGAGGAACACGUGGACAACCUGCCCCGGCAUGGGGGAUACCGCCCAGAAAUGGGCGCCAAUCCCGCGUACGGUCCCUGGGGUGAGGCCUGGGGAGGAAAGGCUCCGUGAGGGGUCGUGCUGGGAGGGGUCUGCGGCCCAUCAGCUAGACGGUGGGGUAACGGCCUACCGUGGCGAUGACGGGUCGCUGGUCUGAGAGGAUGGCCAGCCACACGGGGACUGAGAGACGGCCCCGACUCCUACGGGAGGCAGCAGCAAGGGAUUUUCCGCAAUGGGCGCAAGCCUGACGGAGCGACGCCGCGUGGGGGAUGACGUCUUUCGGGAUGUAAACCCCUUUUCGAGGGGAGGAGGAAGGUCAGUACCCUCGGAAGAAGCCCCGGCUAACUACGUGCCAGCAGCCGCGGUAAUACGUAGGGGGCGAGCGUUGUCCGGAGUGACUGGGCGUAAAGCGCGCGCAGGCGGUCUCGCGCGUCGGGCGUGAAAUCCCCCGGCUCAACUGGGGCGGGUCGCUCGAGACGGCGGGACUGGAGGCCGACAGAGGGGGGUGGAAGGCCGGGUGGAGCAGUGAAAUGCGUAGAGAUCCGGCGGAACACCGGAGGCGAAGGCGGCCCCCUGGGGCGGACCUGACGCUGAGGCGCGACGGCUAGGGGAGCGAACGGGAUUAGAUACCCCGGUAGUCCUAGCAGUAAACGAUGGGCGCUGGCUGUGGGCGGUUUGACCCCGUCGGCGGCUAAGCAAACGCGGAAGCGCCCC